ACAUAAACGACGUCAUUCUAGCAGGAGGGGGCACUCCCCAUCUCCUCUCUCCACACAAUCGCUGUAGUAAAAACAACACAGCCACUUGGCCUCGCUCCCUUGCCCCAAACCCUAGGCCCCUUUCUACUCUUUCCCAAUUCCAUUCCCUCUGCAAGUUCCAGUUAGAGAGAAGGAAAUGGGUUCAGACGAAGGGAAGCUGUUCAUAGGAGGGAUAGCUUGGGACACUACUGAAGACAAGCUGAUUGAGUACUUCAGAAAGUUCGGAGAUGUCACCCAAGCUGUUGUCAUGCGCGACAAGAUCACGGGCCGACCCAGAGGCUUUGCCUUCGUGGUGUUCACUGAUCCCUCAAUUCUGGAUCUCGUUCUUCAGGAGAAGCAUGUCAUCGAUAACAGAACGGUGGAUGCUAAAAGGGCUUUAUCAAGAGAAGAGCAUCUGAUCUCUAGACCUGGAAAUUCUAAUGCUGGGAAAACCUCUGAAGGUGGAGGAAAUUUUAGAACAAGAAAGAUAUUUGUUGGAGGGUUGCCUCCUACGUUAACAGAAGAAGGAUUUCGUCAGUAUUUUGAAAGUUAUGGUCAUGUUACUGAUGUAGUAGUAAUGUAUGAUCAGAAUACACAACGACCUCGUGGUUUUGGAUUCAUUUCAUUUGACUCUGAAGAUGCAGUUGAUGGGGUUCUCCACAAGGCAUUCCAUGAGUUGAACGGGAAACUUGUAGAAGUCAAGCGUGCCCUCCCUAAAGAUGCAUAUCCAGGUGGUGGUAGCCGUGGUGGAGGUUAUCAAGGCUAUGGUGUUGCUAAUACAGGUUCAUUUAAUAGCCAAAUGGAUGGCAACAGAUAUAUGCAGCCUCAGAGUACUGCUGCUUCUUUUUCCCCAUUCUCUGGCUAUGGUGGACCUGCUUAUGGAUAUGGAGCUGCAAAUAAUGGCAUGGGUUAUGGUGGAUAUGGAGGUUAUGGCAUUGGUGGUUAUGGAAAUGCCAGUGCUGGGUUCAAUGGUUCAACUGGGACUUAUGGAAAUCCUAAUGUUCCUAAUGCUGGUUAUGUAAGUGGCCCUCCCAAUGCCUUAAAAACCCAGUGGAGCAACCAAAGCCUUGGUUUUGGUGCUUCUGGCUAUGGUGCAAAUGCAGGCUAUGGGGCUAUCGGCCCUUGGAAUGCUGCAGGUAGUGGUUCUGUUUCUGCACCUAUGGGUCAAUCUCCGAGUGGGGCUACUGCAUAUGGGAACCAAGGUUAUGGAUAUGGCAAUUAUGGUGGAAGUGGCAGAUCUUUCCCCAAUUCUGGUGGGUAUGGGACAUCUGGUGGGCAUGCUGCGAAUGCCCCAAACAGCAAUGCUGGUGCUGGUUCUGGUUCUGGUGUCACAGAGCAAGAAGGAGCUGGCAGUGGGUAUAUUGGUGGUGGUUAUGGCGACGCAAAUGGGAAUUCAGCGUAUUUUUAGUGCAGUUUGGAGGUCUGAGCCUUAGCAAGCAACCAGCAGCUUUAGCAGUUGAAUGUUGGUGCUUUCUCCAGGAGAAUGAUACCGAAAUGUAAAUUGAAACUCGUGGGACUGAAUAAUUUUGUAUGGGAUUUGUGGUGUGGAAAGGAAUUCAAAGUGGACUUGCUCAGUGAUGCACUGUUCACUUGAUCUUUAAUGCAAAUUACUGGAGAGGGCGUGAAGUCUUCCAAGUCUGAAAAGGCUGUGGUAUGUCUAAUUUGAUGUUUGAAAGGGUAGUUAGCUUUGAAUUUCUCUUUUUAAUCUUGUUUUGACAGCUUCAUCUUAUAACUCCUGGGAUGAUGAUUCUUUCGGGUUUGGAAUUUAAAAAAAAAAAAAAAAUUAAAAGAACGAAAUGAAAGCUUUCUUGGUUGGUGCAAGGUUUUAACCUAGUCUACACUCUCUGGAUCGAUCCUUUUCAUCGGAUUCAUAACCAGGCAGGGAAAGCAUUUGUCUCGGCAUCUUUCAUUUCUUACCCUUUGGUUUCCACACCUUACCAUUUUGAUUGCUUUUGGAUGUAAAUAUUCUGCUGCUCUUGCAUGUUUACAGAAUGUGGUAGCGAAUAAUUUCACUACGUAUCUGUCCUCUUUUUUAAUUUCUUCUAAAAUGGUUGCAUAAAUGCCAGAGCAAGCAGACACGCAUUGGGGGCUUGUUAUUAGAGCUUUUCUGGACAGAAUUUUCUGAAAGUCCAUUGGAACUCCUGCAAUUUGCUUAUUUGGUAUUUUGGACAAUUCAAUCUGUUUUUAUUUUCUCCCUUUCUGGUGA